UCCGCCCCUCGAGGCGUUGCAGUCUGACUGUACGUGUUGAGCCUGUGUGAUGAGGGGCGGAGAGUGAAAUAUAGAUGUAUAUGCUGAGGACCCAGAACGGUGGGUACUUGAAAUGAUCAUAGCUCUGACAUU
rfam:Salmo salar isolate Sally breed double haploid chromosome ssa01, whole genome shotgun sequence.